UCCUGGCUGGCUUAGUCAGUAGAGCAUAUGACUUUUGAUCUCGGGGUUGUGAGUUCGAGCCUCAUGUUGGGUA
rnacentral:tRNA from 1 species